GACGAACGCUGGCGGCGUGCUUAACACAUGCAAGUCGAACGGAAAGGCCCUGCUUUUGUGGGGUGCUCGAGUGGCGAACGGGUGAGUAACACGUGAGUAACCUGCCCUUGACUUUGGGAUAACUUCAGGAAACUGGGGCUAAUACCGGAUAGGAGCUCCUGCUGCAUGGCGGGGGUUGGAAAGUUUCGGCGGUUGGGGAUGGACUCGCGGCUUAUCAGCUUGUUGGUGGGGUAGUGGCUUACCAAGGCUUUGACGGGUAGCCGGCCUGAGAGGGUGACCGGCCACAUGGGGACGGAGAUACGGCCCAGACCCCCACGGGGGGCAGGGGGGGGGAAUAUUGCAAAAGGGGGGGAAGCCUGAUGCAGCAACCCCGGGGGCGGGAUGACGGCCUUCGGGUUGUAAACCGCUUUCGCCUGUGACGAAGCGGGAGUGACGGUAAUGGGUAAAGAAGCACCGGCUAACUACGG
rnacentral:rRNA from 1 species